rnacentral:rRNA from 1 species
UCGGGAAUAUUGCGCAAUGGAGGAAACUCUGACGCAGUGACGCCGCGUAUAGGAAGAAGGUUUUCGGAUUGUAAACUAUUGUCGUUGGGGAAGAUAAAAGACAGUACCCAAGGAGGAAGCUCCGGCUAACUACGUG